CAGGGUACAGACGCCAGCCGCUUGGCACACUCUGCCUCCGCACUGGUGCAGGGGGGCAGGGAAAGCCCGCAGCAAAGCUAGCAACUGCUGAGGGAAUGUUGCCUGUUCAUUGGAGUAAAGCCGAUAGAAGUCGACGUGGUACUGUCUCAUCCUUACAGUGUAUUUAGCCUUUCUAUAUUUUUUUAAAAUAAAGCACAGCCCUUUCUUCUCCCUUCCUUUUUAAAAACAGGAAAACCCUUCAGAAGUUCUUAUGGGGGGUUGGGGGGAGUCCCUGCCCCAGACCAUUUAUCUCAUCCAUAAUAUACUUUUUUCCAAUAAUAAGAAAAUACCUGGUGGGAUUUUUUUGUUUUGUUUUGUUUUGUUUUUAGUUACAAGGAGAGAAAGGCUGCCCCUUCCCUAAAUAUAGGCAAAGGAUAUUUUCUUAAAGAAAAAGUUCCAGUUUCUUUCUCUAUAUCUGUGUUUUGUUUUGUUUCUUUCCCUCUUGACUCAGAUGGAUUAUUUAUGGUGAAGGAUUUCAACUAAAAAGUAGGUACAUUGUAAUUAAGAACAAAAUUCAUAUGAAAGCUCUUUGUUUUUUUUGUUUGUAUGUGUGUAGAUUUUUACUUUCUGUCCCCUUCACCCCAGUCCUCUAUAGGAAAUGAAAGCAGUUGAUACUGUAGUUGGGAAGGACAUAGGCAAAGCUGGGAACUUGAUGCUUUCACCUUUUUAUGCUUUCAUUUUAUUUCAUUUUGUUUUUUAAAAGCAAGCAGCAACUGAAGCGACAAGAGGAAUCCAUUAUGCAAAUCGUGUCACUUUGCAUAAUGUCUCAUGACUGGAAUAUGCAAAUGAGCUGUAUAAUUUAUGAGUACCAGUGUCUGUCUAAAAGUGUUUCACAUAAUUUACAAAGUGAGCCUGAGAGACAUGGGGAAGGCAGCUCUUCCAACUCCAUUGCCAGGAAAUCUCUGUAUUUUCCUACAAGUGCUCCCUAGUAGUAUUGUCAAGUGCUAUUUAAAAUAAAUUAACUUUCCAAAUGUUCAUGAAAGAUGAAGAUUUUCUUCUCACUCUCUUCACCCAAAUCCUUUGCCUAAAAGUUUAUAAGAAACUAUUAGACUCUAAAGGAUUAAUUUUUAGAUUUAAUUUGGAAAAGAAAACUUAUUUGAGCCAAACUUGAUAUUUGUAUAUGGAUUUCCCUUUCUAAAGCAAGGAAUGUCUUAGAGAAAUAUAGACACCUUAUCUAUUUGCCUGGCUCUAUGAAGGCAGAAAAAUGAGAUUUCUCAUUUUGACUGGUUUUGUGUGUGCCCUUCUGUGUGAAACAUUUUAUAAAUUAUAGUCCCUUGGAUUUACUAUUAGAUAUGUAAUAUGAAAGACUGAUGCAUUCAAUAUUCUUCUGAGGGUAUAAUUCUGCUUUCAGAGAAAUCUUCAGAAGAGGCUUCAGUUAAGUCACCAGUCGGGUUAGUUGGCCACUUCACAUCUCAUUUUGAUAACUUAUUUGAAUAGAUGACUCUGAACCUUUUGAGAAGUCUUAACAUCUUUGCCUAAAAAUUUGUAAGAAACUUUGAUAAUAUGACCUAAUCUGGCUUUAUAUUUUUUAUUUUAGUCACAAAAAGUUCUGGGAAAGAGGUAUGGUUGCCAUGAAAAUGUGCAAUGGGAAGACCUGAUCUUUGAAGGCAUGUGAGAAAAGGCUUUCUGAAAAAAGUGAAUGCAAGAUUAAUUCUGAACAUUGAAGAUGAAUUAAACAAAAAGAGAAAGAGAGAGAGUAUUUUCCAUGUAGAGUGUAUGUUCAGUAAAUCCUGAGGCAAGAAAAGAUCAUGGCUGCUUGGAAGGACUAAAAUAAAACCAAUGCGACUAAACGAGUAUAGACUGGCAACAGAUUGGGAGGUAAACAUGAAAAAGAGUCUUGGUUGGACGAAUGAGAAGAUAGUGGGAAGCUACAACCUAUCUCCCUCAGGGCACCAUGAACUUUGUCUUCACGGAAAGAAUCACAGUUUAUAGCUAUAAUGUCUGCCUGAGACAGAUCUUCAAUUUGCACUUCCAAAGAAUUCUGAGAAUUCCGCUUGGCAGAAAAAUCUUAAACCAAGGAAUACAUUUACACUGCGCUUUCUUAUUAUAGUGUAUCUUGUGCCAGUGAUAUUAGUAACAGCUGAAAAGAAUACAUUUCCUUGGUUGGCUAAACAGAGGAUGGUCACCAGACCUGUAAACCUAAAUAAGCAUCCCUAGAGGUUUUGGAGUUUAAGCAAAGUGAGCGUCCCUAGGAGAG